GUGAUCAGCACUGAACACAGGCCACUUGCCAUGAACUCAGGACUCAAAUUGGUUUUCUUUGUCCUAAUUCUAAAAGGUGUCCAGUGUGAGGUGCAGCUGGUGGAGUCUGGGGGAGGCUUAGUACAGCCUGGAAAGUCCCUGAAACUCUCCUGUGAGGCCUCUGGAUUCACCUUCAGUAGCUAUAGUAUGGACUGGGUCCGCCAGGCUCCAGGAAAAGGGCUGGAGUGGGUCGCAUACAUUAGUAGUGGUAGUAGUACUAUCUAUUAUGCCAACGCUGUGAAGGGCCGAUUCACCAUCUCCAGAGACAACGCCAAGAACACACUGUUCCUACAAAUGAACAGUGUGAAGUCUGAGGACACUGCCACAUAUUACUGUGCAAGAGACACAGUGAGUGAAAGCUGCUGUAUGCAGCAUGAGAUGCAGCUGGUGGAGUCUGGAGGAGGGUUAGUGCAGCAUGGGAAGUCCCAGAAACUCUCCUGUGCGGCCUCUGGAUUCACAUUCAGUUGCUAUGCCAUGAACUGGGUCUGCCAGGCUCCAGGGAAGGGGCUGGAGUGGGUCGCAUAUAUUAAUGGUGACAGUAGUUACAUUUACUAUGCUAACGCUGUUAAGGGCAGAUUCACCAUCUCCAGAGACAAUUCCAAGAACUCCAUGAAUCUGCAAAUGAACGACCUCAAGUCUGAGGACAAGCCAUGUAUUGCUGUGGAAGAGACACAGUGA